rnacentral:lncRNA from 1 species
AUGAGCAAGAGGGCGUGGCUAGAGACGCCCAGAUUCUUUCACUUUCCUCUCCUUUUCUGCAAGAGUUGGGAGAAGAGAAUAUUUUUGUCUCCCGCCUCCAGCCUCGGAACCUCAGGCAGCGCAGAGGCCUCUGGGAAGCAGGAAGCCGGAAGUCACGAUUGUGCAGCCCAGCUUCCCCGCGAAUCCUCCGGGUUAAGAUGGGUCCCCCUUUCGGCUUCCCCUUCAGGACCCAGGAGUCCUGACCCCCAGCUCCUGGUUAGAGAUUCCAUCGUCAGCCCUCUGGGGGCUGGAGGGUCCCCCAGGCCCUGCCAAGUUGCCGCAUAGAGCCCAGAGGACACGGGACGGUCCCUGUGGGUCAUGGGGGGGGCCUUGCUUGGCCUCCCUGGACAGUCAGUGAGUUCUCCAGGCACCCCCGAGGUGCUUCAAAAGGUCUCUGCCCAGAAAACCCCAAGAGGGAAAUUUGAGUUACCAAAGCGAGAACAGGUGGGCUCCUUGUGGAUGGGGGUUCCAGAAGGGCAGAGCUCUGCAGGCUUGGCCUGGGCUCAUCCCAUGGGGCAUCCCGGGCCCUGUUGCCUCGGGG